GUGCCUGUCUCAGCAGCACAAACACUACAAUUGGAAUAAUGUGGAGAAAGAUUAUCAUGGCUCCUGCACAAGGAUGACACACAAACUUGUGAAACAUUUUCUAUUGAA
ensembl:snRNA U6 U6 spliceosomal RNA